rnacentral:lncRNA from 1 species
CCCGCCCGGCCCCAACGGCCCCAACUCCCGUCUCCUCCCAGUCCCCCGGAGCCGACCAGUGGUGGCGGCAGCCCCAGGUCCCGGGUCCCUCAGACAAAAAGGCGGGUGGAGGAGGAGUAGCCGAGCCCAGAGUCCUGCUCCGGCGCCGCCGAGCACCGCCCGCCUCAGCCGACCAGCCCCGUCGGCUACUGGGCCUAGCCUAGAGGAGAGGAGGGAAAGGCCGCGGAGGCCGCGAGGAGACGGCUGGGGCGCCAGCGGCCGGCUGCCGCCUAGUUGUGCUGCCCGGACCAAGGAAGGAGAAGUGGGAGGAGCGGGGAGCUCAGCGGCUCAGGACGACGACGCUCGCCACAUCCGGGACCCUCCGGCCGUGGCGGUCGCAGCGCCGGCAGCUCGGGCCUCAGCCCCUGCCUCUGUGGUGACUCCGCCGCGCUUCGACGUCGCCCCUGUCCCCGUCCCGCCCGCCGCCCCCGCCAACCCCGCCGCCGGGGACAUGUCCAACCCCUGAAGCCGGAGGAACGGGCCAGUCAGACUGCGCCCGACAGGAGGUGAAGUGAAAUCUGCAAGAGUCCUGCUCGUUCAAGGCCUGCAUACAGGAAAGAAGCAGGGGAAAAGCGUUAGAAACAGCUUUUGUUCUACAGCAUUUUAAAAUAUAAUAGGUAUAUUGAAAAGUCUGAUUCAGUUACAAUCAGUGUAUGGAAUCACAAGAAGAUCCAUAAGAAACAAGGUGCUGGAUUUCUCCGUUGUGUUCGUCUUUUUCCAGUGCCAUCAACCACCUCAAAGACACUGGUUAUCAGAGGUUGGAUUUAUGCAAACUUGGGCCAAAGGACAGUUAGAAGACAGUAGCUGAAGAAGCAUCUGUAGGGAAUCCAGAAGGAGCAUUCAUGAAGAUGUUACAAGCCCGGAAGCAGCACAUGAGCACUGAGCUGACUAUUGAGUCGGAGGCGCCCUCAGACAGCAGUGGCAUCAACUUGUCAGGCUUUGGGAGUGAGCAGCUAGACACCAAUGACGAGAGUGAUGUGAUCAGCUUGAAAUUCAGCUAACCGAGCAGCUACGGUCCCUCAUCCCCAACGAGGAUGUGAGAAAGUUCAUGUCUCAUGUUAUCUGGACCUUGAAAAUGGAAUGUUCAGAAACACAUGUGCAAGGGAGCUGUGCCAAGCUCAUGUCGCGAACAGGCCUCCUGAUGAAGCUUCUCAGCGAGCAGCAGGAAGCAAAGGCAUUGAAUGUAGAAUGGGAUACGGACCAACAAAAAACAAAUUAUAUUAAUGAGAACAUGGAACAGAAUGAACAGAAAGAGCAGAAGUCAAGUGAGGUGAGGAGCACACAGAAACAUGAGACCCAGAUUUCCCAUCAUUUAGCAUAUGCCAGGAAAGUGCCCACAUAGGAGAACCUGGGACUCCCAGGCCAUAGCUU